CAUCUUUAAAGGAACCAGGCAAGUACAUGAUGUACAGUUACAAGUCAUGUAUUUUUUUGACUGCAAUAUUAAAUGCUUUCACGUCACAUGUAAAAGUACACAAGAAUGUGGCUAAUCACUUUUUAUUUGUAGUUUACCUGAGUGUCCUUGCACUUUAUCAGGAGUUAAGGCAGAUGUGGAGGCACAACGGGUGACACCAGACACACCCAAGCACAUUAUGUUCGGACAUUCAAUCAUGACAUGAUCCAUGUGGAUGCUGUCCAUUGAGAAAAGAGUUUGUUCAGCGGUUUCUGGAUAGAAUUAAUUCCAAAGAUGGGAAAAAGUGCACAUCCAGACAAGGAGCAAGCAAAAAGACAAGGAACUUGGUGCAGAGAAAAGCUGUGGCCAUUAACCCCCAUGUGAACAGCUUAAUGCAGUCCCUGAUUGAGUUCGAAUGGACGACUUCAAAGUAAAGGCCACUGUGGUCUGUCUGCCACAGUUUAAUUUUUAAUUUAUUUUUAGUGUUCAAUGAAAUUCAAGUAGAAUAUUUAAAACUAUGGGCCAGUGUUCUUUUUACCACAGUGAAAUGUUACCUUUUAGUCGAUGAUGGACUUUAAACUGAAAACUUCAAACUAUUGACCAGUGUUCUAUUUGCCAGAGUUAAAUAUGUUACAGCAGGGGUCUCCA